rnacentral:rRNA from 1 species
AUUGAACGCUGGCGGCAUGCCUUACACAUGCAAGUCGAACGGUAACAGGUCUUUCGGGAUGCUGACGAGUGGCGAACGGGUGAGUAAUACAUCGGAACGUGCCUAGUAGUGGGGGAUAACUACUCGAAAGAGUGGCUAAUACCGCAUGAGAUCUAUGGAUGAAAGCAGGGGACCUUCGGGCCUUGUGCUACCAGAGCGGCCGAUGGCAGAUUAGGUAGUUGGUGGGAUAAAAGCUUACCAAGCCUACGAUCUGUAGCUGGUCUGAGUGGACGAUCAGCCACACUGGGACUGAGACACGGCCCAGACUCCUACGGGAGGCAGCAGUGGGGAAUUUUGGACAAUGGGCGCAAGCCUGAUCCAGCAAUGCCGCGUGCAGGAUGAAGGCCUUCGGGUUGUAAACUGCUUUCGUACGGAACGAAAAGUCUUGGGUUAAUACCCUGGGAUCAUGACGGUACCGUAAGAAUAAGCACCGGCUAACUACGUGCCAGCAGCCGCCGUAAGAC